rnacentral:hammerhead_ribozyme from 1 species
GUACUGAUGACGAGUCCAAAACCAGGACGAAACAGCUGUCCAGUAC